AUACGUAGGUGGCGAGCGUUAUCCGGAAUUAUUGGGCGUAAAGAGCGCGCAGGUGGUUGAUUAAGUCUGAUGUGAAAGCCCACGGCUUAACCGUGGAGGGUCAUUGGAAACUGGUCAACUUGAGUGCAGAAGAGGGAAGUGGAAUUCCAUGUGUAGCGGUGAAAUGCGUAGAGAUAUGGAGGAACACCAGUGGCGAAGGCGGCUUCCUGGUCUGUAACUGACACUGAGGCGCGAAAGCGUGGGGAGCAAACAGGAUUAGAUACCCUGGUAGUCCACGCCGUAAACGAUGAGUGCUAAGUGUUGGGGGUCGAACCUCAGUGCUGAGGUUAACGCAUUAAGCACUCCGCCUGGGGAGUACGGUCGCAAGACUGAA
rnacentral:rRNA from 1 species